UCUUGCCGCCGCCGGCUGCUCUCCUCUCCCCGCGCCUCGUCUGCCUCCUCUGCUCCCUCUCCCUUGUCUCCUCUCCCGCACCACCAGCCCCUUAUCUCUGCUCGCCCCAGCCGUCUCUCUCCUCCCCCGCACCGUCAGCCCCGGAUCUGGAGGAAGAGGAGGGAGGCGGGGUCUGGAGGAGGAAGAGGAGAUCCGGGCGCCCCGGCGGUGGCUCGACCGAUGCGAGGUCCGAUGAGUGCCUCUCCGACUCCUCCCUCCAUCCUCGCCACCAACCACCGUCCUCUUCUCCGCCGUGGCCUGCCGAGGCUGGCAAGGAGGAGACCGCCGCCCGUGCUCUCGAGCUCAAAGGGGGAGUUGGAUCCCAAGGGCAGAGUUGCAGUCUAGAGCUGCAGGGAACCCGUGUGAUUUGUUCUCUGUUGAUUUCCCUUCUUGUCUGUUCCUUUCCGACUUGUUGUUCUUGCCUUGCUUCCCAACCACAGGUGCUCCCCACGGUGAGGAGCGGACGCGCUCGACGCCUUUCUUCCCAACCAGGUGCUCCUCUAUCUCUCCCUAUGUGUUGUGUGAUGAAUGUGUGGUAGUGGGAGUGGGAUAGGGAGAGGUAAAGAGAGCAGAUUCCAAAUGCAAUGGAAGGGAACUUUCAAUCCAAGUUUAAUUUUCAUUGGGCAUUCAAAUUCUUAAUUUGAUCUUCUCAAAUUUUUGCCUAGGUGUAUAAACAUACAUGCACAUG